rnacentral:tRNA from 2 species
GCCGAGGUGGCGGAAUGGCAGACGCGCCGGACUUAAAAUCCGUUGCCCUACGGGGCGUGAGAGUUCGAGUCUCUCCCUCGGCACCA